rnacentral:rRNA from 1 species
AUUGAACGCUGGCGGUAGGCCUAACACAUGCAAGUCGAACGGCAGCACAGGAGAGCUUGCUCUCUGGGUGGCGAGUGGCGGACGGGUGAGGAAUACAUCGGAAUCUACUUUUUCGUGGGGGAUAACGUAGGGAAACUUACGCUAAUACCGCAUACGACCUACGGGUGAAAGCAGGGGACCUUCGGGCCUUGCGCGAUUGAAUGAGCCGAUGUCGAAUUAGCUAGUUGGCGGGGUAAAGGCCCACCAAGGCGACGAUCCGUAGCUGGUCUGAGAGGAUGAUCAGCCACACUGGAACUGAGACACGGUCCAGACUCCUACGGGAGGCAGCAGUGGGGAAUAUUGGACAAUGGGGGCAAGCCUGAUCCAGCCAUACCGCGUGGGUGAAGAAGGCCUUCGGGUUGUAAAGCCCUUUUGUUGGGAAAGAAAUCCAGCUGGCUAAUACCCGGUUGGGAUGACGGUACCCAAAGAAUAAGCACCGGCUAACUUCGUGCCAGCCGCCGCAGUAACAC